GGAGUCUUCCUUUUACAGUGCUCAACCAGCCUGGUCAAGGUCCUGUGGCCAUCCGGGCACAGAACGGACCGGAGUCAAAGCCAAAGCCAUGGCAAACACUUUCUGCUGUGCUGAGUGCUACCAACAACUGUUCUCACAUGGUGCUCUACUGCUUCCUGAAGAAGGAGAAAUGCUGGAGGCCACUUCUCUCCAUUUUACAUCUCGGAUCAGCAAAGUACACGGAAAAACAGCUGCUGAUUUCACAAGGAGAAAAAGCCACCCUGGAAGACAUUGUAAAAACAUAUUUUGCCUAUGAAGUGACGGGGGCUCCAAAACCUGAAUGGUAAACAGCGGAUCAAGGCGAGAGUGAGUCUGUUCCUCAUUGUGUGACCCUAUGGUGCCCCUUCUCCAUAGCUGCUCCUCCAUGGCCCUUCAAAGGAUGUGCUACUGGGCUCA
rnacentral:lncRNA from 1 species